rnacentral:rRNA from 1 species
ACGCUCGACACCUACUGGAGGCAGCAGUGGGGAAUAUUGCACAAUGGGGGAAACCCUGAUGCAGCAACGCCGCGUGAGCGAAGAAGUAUUUCGGUAUGUAAAGCUCUAUCAGCAGGGAAGAAAGUGACGGUACCUGAGUAAGAAGCCCCGGCUAACUACGUGCCAGCAGCCGCGGUAAUCUGAGCGGGCUGGCAAGGC